GGGCGGUUGGCUCAGUUGGUAGAGCAUCUCCUUUACACGGAGAGGGUCGGCGGUUCGAGUCCGUCACCGCCCA
rnacentral:tRNA from 2 species